GCCUGCAAUUACUUGCUGAUAGCUACUUGAGGGAGACACACAGCGGCAGAUGCAGCGUAUCAUCGGAGGUCGGUCGUUCCUUUCCUGCCUUUCCACCAAACGCAGCAGCCAGGCUGGACACAAGACAAUGCUCAAAAACGAAGCUUCACUUUACGCACAUCAAGAAGAUGAGGAGCCAUAACAAACUGCAGGUAGAGCACAGUGACCCCCGGCUGCUCACAGAGAUUAAGAUAAAGAUUAAAAGUGAAGCUGGAUAGAUUGUUAUAACUGGAAGAAGAUGCCAAAGAACAACAUCACUUUUGUACGUGAGUCUAGCAGAUAUUGCAUGAAGAUGACCAUAAAGACAAAAUCUUGGAUCCGUCAUGUUGGACUGAAUGCGGGAUAAUUAACAUGAGCCAGGCUAGUCCUAACUGAUGCAUCAGAGGAUUCCUCAUUGACAGCAAAAAAGGGACAUUGGAGACCGUAGGGCCCUGGGCAGUUUAUCAGUGGAAAUCUAAUAUGGUCCAUAAGCAGGCAAGUGAAAAUCAAUACUUCAUUACCAAAUUGUUAGUCAAGAUGAAGAAGAAUGGCAGGAGUGUCUUAAAAGG